rnacentral:rRNA from 1 species
GCCCAAACCCUAGCCCACCCAAAAUUAAACCAACACCAACCCUCCAAUCAAACAAAACCAAAACAUUUCUCAUAAACCUAGUAUAGGCGAUAGAAAAGUUUCAUUUAGGCGCAAUAGAAAAACGUACCGUAAGGGAAAGAUGAAAUAACAAUGAAAACUAAGCACCAAACAGCAAAGACCAACCCUUGUACCUUUUGCAUCAUGACUCAGCAAGAACUAAUCAAACAAAACGACUUGAAGCUUGCCACCCCGAAACCCAAGCGAGCUACUCACAAGCAGCCUUAUAGGGCAAAUCCGUCUCUGUUGCAAAAGAGUGGAAUGACUUGUCAGUAGAGGUGAAAAGCCAACCGAGCUGGGUGAUAGCUGGUUGCCUGCGAAACGAAUCUAAGUUCCCCCUUGACCCAUCACCUACGGACAUAAAAUAACCCAUAUGAAAUUAAGUCAAGAGUCAUCUAAAGGAGGUACAGCUCCCUUAGACCAAAACACAUCUUCUGAAAGCGGAUAAGUCUCCCUUUACACCCAACACAUUGUAGGCCCUCAAGCAGCCACCAACAAAGAGUGCGUCAAAGCUCAUAAACAUAAAAAUACACCCCCCCAUACAAUUCCCUCUCACCUAGCAGGCUAAUCUACCCUCAAUAGAAGUACACAUGCUGAGAUGAGUAACUAAGGAAAUCCCUCUAACCGCGCCAACUUACAUCCGCACAUUAUUAACAAGCCCGUACACACACACAAGACAAACGUACAAUUCACCCCCUGUUAACCCAACCAAUGGAGCGCCUCUCAAGAGAGACAAAACCCCGCAAAAGGAACUAGGCAAACCCACAGGCCCGACUGUUUACCAAAAACAUAGCCUCUAGCUAAUCAAGUAUUAUAGGUGAUGCCUGCCCAGUGACACCCACGUUCAACGGCCGCGGUAUCCUAACCGUGCAAAGGUAGCGCAAUCAAUUGCCCCAUAAAUUGGGACUUGUAUGAAUGGCUAAACGAGGUCUCAACUGUCUCUUGCGGGCAGUCAGUGAAAUUGAUCCCCCUGUGCAAAAGCAGGAAUAAUCCCAUUAGACAAGAAGACCCUGUGGAACUUCAAAAUCAGCAGCCACCUCCUUCACACCCUACUACCCCCUACACAGGCAUACAACUAAAAGAACAACUGGCAUGCAUUUUUCGGUUGGGGCAACCUUGGAGAACAACCCAUCCUCCAAAAACUAGGCCACCUCUACCUAACCAAGAACAACCCAUCAACGUACUAAUAGCAACCAGACCCAAUAAAAUUGACCAAUGAACCAAGCUACCCCAGGGAUAACAGCGCAAUCUCCCCCAAGAGCCCCCAUCGACGGGGAGGUUUACGACCUCGAUGUUGGAUCAGGACAUCCUAGUGGUGCAGCCGCUACUAAGGGUUCGUUUGUUCAACGAUUAAUAGUCCUACGUGAUCUGAGUUCAGACCGGAGCAAUCCAGGUCGGUUUCUAUCUAUGACUAGCUUUUUCCAGUACGAAAGGACCAAAAAAGCAAGACCUCUACCCCAAGCAAGUCUUCACCCCAAGUAAUGAACCAAACUAAAUUACCAAAUCCAACCCCCCCUACACCCAAGAAUAGGGCCA